rnacentral:rRNA from 1 species
GCGACAGAUAGGAGCUUGCUUCCUUUUGACGUUAGCGGCGGACGGGUGAGUAACACGUUGGGUAACCUACCUAUAAGAACUGGAAUAACUUCCGGGAAACCGGGGCUAAUGCCGGAUAACAUUUAGAACCGCAUGGUUCUAAAGUGAAAGAUGGUUUUCGCUAUCACUUAUAGAUGGACCCGCGCCGUAUUAGCUAGUUGGUAAGGUAAUGGCUUACCAAGGCAACGAUACGUAGCCGACCUGAGAGGGUGAUCGGCCACACUGGAACUGAGACACGGUCCAGACUCCUACGGGAGGCAGCAGUAGGGAAUCUUCCGCAAUGGGCGAAAGCCUGACGGAGCAACGCCGCGUGAGUGAUGAAGGGUUUCGGCUCGUAAAACUCUGUUAUUAGGGAAGAAACAAACGUGUAAGUAACUUGUGCACGUUCUUUGACGGUACCUAAUCAGAAAGCCACGGCUAACUACGUGCCAGCAGCCGCGGUAAUACGUAGGUGGCAAGCGUUUAUCCGGAAUUUAUUGGGCGUAAAGCGCGCGUAGGCGGUUCUCUUUAAGUCUGAUGUGAAAGCCCACGGCUCAACCGUGGAGGGGUCAUUUGGAAACUGGGAGACUUUGAGUGCAGAAGAGGAAAGUGGAAUUCCAUGUGUAGCGGUGAAAUGCGCAGAGAUAUGGAGGAACACCAGUGGCGAAGGCGACUUUUCUGGUCUGUAACUG